AUCAUGCCAUCAAUCAUCAUACGCUCGAACAACCGUCAUUGUAUUUCCACUCUUGAUAUCAAUUUUCCAAAGUGGUGCUCAUUGCAUUGCGUCUGCUAUUUAAAUUCUCCUGAUUAAAAAUUUGAUAAAUAUUCAUUUGAAUCACUUAUUUCAGUCCGAUUGUUUUGAAAGCAUAUUUAUACAAUGUAGAGGUUGAGCCCAAUCUCAGCUCACAAUGUCCUUCAAAAUGUGUCUAUCAUUGAUUCUCAUCUCUUCAAUUUUGAUGUCAUUCGUCCCUCCUACUGAUUCCACGUGUCCCCCUCCACUUAUGCUUAUGGGGGGAUGCAUUCAGCAUAAGAGGGGAUAUGUCAAUGGGAUGGUCUUUUCCCAGAGACGUUUUGCAGGUUCUCCGCGACUCAGAGAAGGAACAGAAAAUCGAUGAUUUGGGAAGCGGAAACGGCCCUAUAUUAUAAGAUUCAAUCAUAUACUUUUGGUUGAGUAACCUAUUCAAUGUAGUGGAAAACUUGCUGUUGCCCAUGCACUAUGAAAUUCAAAUU